GGAGAGGUACCCAAGUGGUUGGGUUUUUAGCCGGUGCGGGGGUUCGAAUCCCCCCCUCUCCG
rnacentral:tRNA from 1 species